rnacentral:tRNA from 1 species
GGUUUCGUAGUGUAGUGGUUAGCACUCCAGACUUUGAAUCUGGCGAUCUGGGUUCAAAUCCCAGCUGGGUUC